rnacentral:rRNA from 1 species
CAGUAGCGUAUAUUAAAGUUGUUGCAGUUAAAAAGCUCGUAGUUGGAUUUCUGGCUUGACAACGCUGAUCCGCCCUUUAGUUGGUGAGUGUCGGUUUGUUUGUCUGCCAUCCUUCCGCAGCGCGUUUCUACCUUUCACUAGGCUUUCGGACUCGCAAUGCGGAACAUUUACUUUGAAAAAAUUAGAGUGUUCAAAGCAGGCAUAUUUGCCAUUGAAUACAUUAGCAUGGAAUAAUAAUUUAGGACUUUGGUUCUAUUUUGUUGGUUUUCAGGACUAAAGUAAUGAUUGAUAGGGAUAGUUGGGGGUGCUAGUAUUCAGCGGCCAGAGGUGAAAUUCUCGGAUUCGCUGAAGACUAACUUAUGCGAAAGCAUUCACCAAGGAUGUCUNCUUUAA